CUACGGGUCGCUGCAGUGGGGAAUCUUGCGCAAUGCGCGAAAGCGUGACGCAGCAACGCCGCGUGGGGGAAGAAGGCUUUCGGGUUGUAAACCCCUUUCAGUUGGGACGAAGCUUCGCCGGUGAACAGCCGGCCGGAGUGACGGUACCUUCACAAGAAGCACCGGCUAACUACGUGCCAGCAGCCGCGGUAAUACGUAGGGUGCAAGCGUUGUCCGGAAUUAUUGGGCGUAAAGAGCGUGUAGGCGGCUCGAUAAGUCCGCUGUGAAAGUCCAGGGCUCAACCCUGGAAUGCCGGUGGAUACUGUCGAGCUAGAGUCCGGAAGGGGCGAGUGGAAUUCCUGGUGUAGCGGUGAAAUGCGCAGAUAUCAGGAGGAACACCAAUGGCGAAGGCAGCUCGCUGGGACGUGACUGACGCUGAGACGCGAAAGCGUGGGGAGCAAACAGGAUUAGAUACCCUAGUAGUC
rnacentral:rRNA from 1 species